GCUCGGCGGCCUCUCCUUCCUCCUCCUCCCCCUGCUCUUCGUCGUCUCCCAUGCAGCCACCUUCGACAUCGUCAACCAAUGCUCCUUCACUGUCUGGGCCGCCGCCGUCCCCGGGGGCGGCCGCCAGCUCGACCCGAGCCAGACCUGGUCCAUCAACGUCAAUCCCGGCACCACAGGCGGCCGCGUCUGGGCCCGCACCGACUGCUCCUUCGAUGGAAGCGGCAGCGGUAGCUGCCAGACAGGCGACUGCGGCGGCCUCCUGGAGUGCCAAGGCUACGGCACGCCGCCCAAUACGCUGGCCGAGUUCGCCCUCAACCAGUUCCAGAACAUGGACUUCAUCGACAUCUCCCUCGUCGACGGCUUCAACGUGCCCAUGGACUUCAGCCCCACCUCGGGGGACUGCCGGGGCAUACGGUGCUCCGCCGACAUCAACGGGCAGUGCCCCGCGGAGCUGAGGGCGCCGGGCGGCUGCAACAACCCUUGCACCGUGUUCAAAACUGAUGAGUACUGCUGCACCUCCGGCAGCUGCGGGCCGACAAACUACUCCAUGUUCUUCAAGAACAACUGCCCCGAUGCUUACAGCUACCCCAAGGACGACGCAACCAGCACCUUCACCUGCCCCGGUGGGACUAAUUACAGGGUUGUCUUCUGCCCUUAAUUAUCACGUGGGAGGAGAAGGAGGUGACGGCGGACGUACAAAGAAUCUACUCGUAGAUAAAAGAAUAAUAAGCCAAUUACCCAGUAAUAACAACGAAUAAGAGGGUGUCUGUAUUGACAUC
rnacentral:lncRNA from 1 species